rnacentral:rRNA from 1 species
GGUUAAGCGACUAAGCGUACACGGUGGAUGCCCUGGCAGUCAGAGGCGAUGAAGGACGUGCUAAUCUGCGAUAAGCGCCGGUAAGGUGAUAUGAACCGUUAUAACCGGCGAUUUCCGAAUGGGGAAACCCAGUGUGACUCGUCACACUAUCAUUAACUGAAUCCAUAGGUUAAUGAGGCGAACCGGGGGAACUGAAACAUCUAAGUACCCCGAGGAAAAGAAAUCAACCGAGAUUCCCCCAGUAGCGGCGAGCGAACGGGGAGGAGCCCAGAGCCUGAAUCAGCAUGUGUGUUAGUGGAAGCGUCUGGAAAGGCGCGCGAUACAGGGUGACAGCCCCGUACACAAAAGCGCAUAUGCUGUGAGCUCGAUGAGUAGGGCGGGACACGUGGUAUCCUGUCUGAAUAUGGGGGGACCAUCCUCCAAGGCUAAAUACUCCUGACUGACCGAUAGUGAACCAGUACCGUGAGGGAAAGGCGAAAAGAACCCCGGCGAGGGGAGUGAAAAAGAACCUGAAACCGUGUACGUACAAGCAGUGGGAGCCCCACCACUAAGCCAGUGGUGAACUCCACAUACGCAUCCUUUGCUGAGGAUACGGUUAACGGAGCGAAAGCGACGUUCAACCGCAAAAGAAGCAGAGGGGGCUUAGUGGUGGGGUGACUGCGUACCUUUUGUAUAAUGGGUCAGCGACUUAUAUUCUGUAGCAAGGUUAACCGAAUAGGGGAGCCGGAGGGAAACCGAGUCUUAACCGGGCGUUAAGUUGCAGGGUAUAGACCCGAAACCCGGUGAUCUAGCCAUGGGCAGGUUGAAGGUUGGGUAACACUAACUGGAGGACCGAACCGACUAAUGUUGAAAAAUUAGCGGAUGACCUGUGGCUGGGGGUGAAAGGCCAAUCAAACCGGGAGAUAGCUGGUUCUCCCCGAAAGCUAUUUAGGUAGCGCCUCGUGAACUCAUCUCCGGGGGUAGAGCACUGUUUCGGCUAGGGGGCCAUCCCGGCUUACCAACCCGAUGCAAACUGCGAAUACCGGAGAAUGUUAUCACGGGAGACACACGGCGGGUGCUAACGUCCGUCGUGAAGAGGGAAACAACCCAGACCGCCAGCUAAGGUCCCAAAGUCAUGGUUAAGUGGGAAACGAUGUGGGAAGGCCCAGACAGCCAGGAUGUUGGCUUAGAAGCAGCCAUCAUUUAAAGAAAGCGUAAUAGCUCACUGGUCGAGUCGGCCUGCGCGGAAGAUGUAACGGGGCUAAACCAUGCACCGAAGCUGCGGCAGCGACACUCAGGUGUUGUUGGGUAGGGGAGCGUUCUGUAAGCCUGCGAAGGUGGCCUGUGAGGGUUGCUGGAGGUAUCAGAAGUGCGAAUGCUGACAUAAGUAACGAUAAAGCGGGUGAAAAGCCCGCUCGCCGGAAGACCAAGGGUUCCUGUCCAACGUUAAUCGGGGCAGGGUGAGUCGACCCCUAAGGCGAGGCCGAAAGGCGUAGUCGAUGGGAAACGGGUUAAUAUUCCCGUACUUGGUGUUACUGCGAAGGGGGGACGGAGAAGGCUAUGUUGGCCGGGCGACGGUUGUCCCGGUUUAAGCGUGUAGGCUGGUUUUCCAGGCAAAUCCGGAAAAUCAAGGCUGAGGCGUGACGACGAGGCACUACGGUGCUGAAGCAACAAAUGCCCUGCUUCCAGGAAAAGCCUCUAAGCAUCAGGUAACAUCAAAUCGUACCCCAAACCGACACAGGUGGUCAGGUAGAGAAUACCAAGGCGCUUGAGAGAACUCGGGUGAAGGAACUAGGCAAAAUGGUGCCGUAACUUCGGGAGAAGGCACGCUGACACGUAGGUGAAGUGAUUUACUCAUGGAGCUGAAGUCAGUCGAAGAUACCAGCUGGCUGCAACUGUUUAUUAAAAACACAGCACUGUGCAAACACGAAAGUGGACGUAUACGGUGUGACGCCUGCCCGGUGCCGGAAGGUUAAUUGAUGGGGUCAGCGCAAGCGAAGCUCCUGAUCGAAGCCCCGGUAAACGGCGGCCGUAACUAUAACGGUCCUAAGGUAGCGAAAUUCCUUGUCGGGUAAGUUCCGACCUGCACGAAUGGCGUAAUGAUGGCCAGGCUGUCUCCACCCGAGACUCAGUGAAAUUGAACUCGCUGUGAAGAUGCAGUGUACCCGCGGCAAGACGGAAAGACCCCGUGAACCUUUACUAUAGCUUGACACUGAACAUUGAGCCUUGAUGUGUAGGAUAGGUGGGAGGCUUUGAAGUGUGGACGCCAGUCUGCAUGGAGCCGGCCUUGAAAUACCACCCUUUAAUGUUUGAUGUUCUAACGUGGACCCGUGAUCCGGGUUGCGGACAGUGUCUGGUGGGUAGUUUGACUGGGGCGGUCUCCUCCUAAAGAGUAACGGAGGAGCACGAAGGUUGGCUAAUCCUGGUCGGACAUCAGGAGGUUAGUGCAAUGGCAUAAGCCAGCUUGACUGCGAGCGUGACGGCGCGAGCAGGUGCGAAAGCAGGUCAUAGUGAUCCGGUGGUUCUGAAUGGAAGGGCCAUCGCUCAACGGAUAAAAGGUACUCCGGGGAUAACAGGCUGAUACCGCCCAAGAGUUCAUAUCGACGGCGGUGUUUGGCACCUCGAUGUCGGCUCAUCACAUCCUGGGGCUGAAGUAGGUCCCAAGGGUAUGGCUGUUCGCCAUUUAAAGUGGUACGCGAGCUGGGUUUAGAACGUCGUGAGACAGUUCGGUCCCUAUCUGCCGUGGGCGCUGGAGAACUGAGGGGGGCUGCUCCUAGUACGAGAGGACCGGAGUGGACGCAUCACUGGUGUUCGGGUUGUCAUGCCAAUGGCACUGCCCGGUAGCUAAAUGCGGAAGAGAUAAGUGCUGAAAGCAUCUAAGCACGAAACUUGCCCCGAGAUGAGUUCUCCCUGAGACUUUAGGUCUCCUGAAGGAACGUUGAAGACGACGACGUUGAUAGGCCGGGUGUGUAAGCGCAGCGAUGCGUUGAGCUAACCGGUACUAAUGAACCGUGAGGCUUAACCUU